UCACAUUCCCUUCUAGGUAGAAAACAGAGACAAGGGUAAAAGGAUUCAAGUGGUUUCUUUCUGUCCUCAAAGUGUAUCCUUUCUUUACCAUUCCCCUCUUUCUUACUUUGCUCAUCAUUCCAGAUCUUACUGUGCACCAGUAGCAGGUAAGUUGCCAAACAGAAGUCCUUCCACCCAGAGACAGAGCCUUUCCCAGAGUCACUGGCACACCAAAUACAGAGGGAACCUUCUUUGAUUAAUUGCAAGUCUCAUGGCAAACAAUAUAUGAUAGCUGCUGAAGGACAAAGCAACCUGAAUCUGUAGGAAUGAUAAAAGUCAGUAUGUCUCUUCUCAUAUUUUUUUUUCUACUUGUUCUUUCUAGUAUUUCUCACCUGAGGUCAUCACAUCUGCAAUAAAGUAAUGAAGGCUUCUUCUUUUUCUGUAUAAUGAUCUUAGGCUGUCUUAGACAAAAAAAUGUGGGGGGAAAAGACAUAUAAUUUUUACAUUUAUAGAAGGAAUACAUUUUUUUCUCUGCAUGUAGUAAUUAGUGGUGCAAAUGGUCAGUAAGCAAUACUUCCCUACCUUAAUAGAAUAAAAUCUUUGGUUAAUUAGGAGAUUAAAACACAUAAUGAAUAUGUGAACUCUGCCAACUGUUCUAAUAGAGGCCGUCAGCUCAUUUAUAUUGUUAAUUGAACAAUUAGUAUUGCUGAAUUGCAAACCCACAGGAGACAGGAGGGCAGAACACGUUCCUGAGACACUGCAUUGCUCUGCUGGCACCAGAUAUCUGUGACCACAGGUGACUCCAUUGCCCUCCAGAGCCCUUCAACAACAUGGGUGGAUUUCAACCAUUAGGGAGAGAAAUUUAAAUGUGCAAAUAUUUGCAUUUUCCUAGACUGAUCAUAGUCCACCUCUUCAGAAAUAUCUCAGCACAUGAAGACUGACAGGUAGGAAAGGAUGACUGAAAGGAAGUUCCCUGCAAAAAACACUCUAGCAUGCUCUUCAAAAUAGCCUGGAUUUGGACUUACUGCAGCAAAACCCUGAUCCAAGCCUCUUCUGGGAGCAUGUCUGAGGCAGAGAGAAAAACAAGACCCAGGAAUACUCCAGGCUAUCAGCACCAGGGAAGCAGGAAUCUGCUAUUACCUGCCUUGAACAAAUGGGAAUUGAUGAUGUGAGCAACUUGCUCAAAAUCAACCAUCAGCAUUGAAACAGAGGAUACAAUUGAACUCAUAGCUCCAGAAUCACAAUUUUUUGCCCCAAACUUUAGGCAAUCAUUCCUUCCCUUACACUAGGAAUUCAGUGUAGAUGUAAUGGGUACUUACUUCUUGAAUAGGGUGAAACUAUGUAGGUCUCCUCUGACUCUGACACAAGCUUAUUGGUAGUGACAGAGCUCACUAUCAAGACAGAAAGGUAUUAAAAUAGGGGUCCCUGUCUGGAUUUUGUGCCCUUCUCAGCAUAACUCCAUAUAUCCCAGCUGCUCUGACAUCCAGAGCACAGUACAUCACACCUGCAGUGUUUUAUUUUAUAUCACACCAGCAGUGUUUUAUUUUCCUUGCUUCUCUGCUGAAGAGGAGUGCAUGACGGGAAAAUGGGUUUCUCCCAAGAUGCCAGUUAAUUCUUACUUUCUAAAGUGUCCUUAUUUUCUUUCUAUGCUUAUUUGGGUAAUCACACUUCACCUCUGGGGCAUGGAUUUGGAGAGUGCAAUUCAAGCUGUGCUGUGUUGCAUUAUGAUGCCAUGUAAUACAGGAUAAAUGCUUGCUUCCUCUGGGAUACUGCAUUUUGAGGCACACUACUGCCAACACAUAGGUUUAUGAAACACAACUAAUGACAAAAUCAUAAAAUCAGGAGGUACUGGUUACACCUUAGCGAAGGAUAAAGAGGAAAAAACCAAAAACAGAGUGAAAGACAGAGCAAAAAAUAUAAAUACUGUUGACAGUUUCAAAUACAAAGCUUUUUGACAGGUAUUUAUUGAACUUCCUUUGGACUUUAAUACAGCCAAUGCUAAAGAUAAAAUAUAGACUCUUUUCCCUGCCUAAUCUGCUAUUUUGGCAUAGUAUCCAAUUUCAGUAUCUCUAACAAAAGCAUAAUUAGACUCACUAUUACAGAUGUGGGACAUCUACUCCCACCAUGUUUUGAGUUGAAGGUUUAAGACCUAUUUUUCCCAGCCUACUGCAACUUUUAUUCUGCAUAAAGCUUUCUCCUUUGUUCAAAAUCUUCAAUUAUUUAUAAAUAUUUAAA